rnacentral:lncRNA from 1 species
CAGGAAUUUCCUGAAUACCAGUUAAAUGAAUUAACUGUACAACUAUCCUUCCUUAGUGUGAGUUCAGCCAUAUGUUCCCUCUUCUUCCAGGAGGUACUCUGCCUCCAUGGCUUUUCUGUCUGGCUUGGUUCUUUCCCAGCUUUCCCCUUGCCCUGUAGGUGAGGGUGGCAACUGGUCAGUACACAUGACUGUUCUGUCAGACUGUGAUGAAAGUAGAUGUCCACUCCAACUGACUUCUGUUAUUUGGAUAAUUUGAGCAUGGACAAUGAGCAGUAUUAAAUCAAGAGCCACUGAAUGUCGUGAUAACCCUGCUAUAAUAAAUCAAGAUGCGCUAGUCA